UACAGAGGGUGCGAGCGUUGUUCGGAAUUAUUGGGCGUAAAGGGCGCGUAGGCGGCGCGGUAUGUCAGCUGUGAAAUCUCCUGGCUCAACUGGGAGCUUGCAGGCGAAACUGCCGUGCUGGAGUGUGGGAGAGGUGCGUGGAAUUCCUGGUGUAGCGGUGAAAUGCGUAGAUAUCAGGAGGAACACCUGUGGCGAAAGCGGCGCACUGGACCACAACUGACGCUGAGGCGCGAAAGCUAGGGGAGCAAACAGG
rnacentral:rRNA from 1 species